rnacentral:rRNA from 1 species
UACGGGGGGGGCAAGCGUUGUUCGGAAUUACUGGGCGUAAAGGGCUCGUAGGCGGCUAACUAAGUCAGACGUGAAAUCCCUCGGCUUAACCGGGGAACUGCAUCUGAUACUGGAUGGCUUGAGAUUGGGAGAGGGAUGCGGAAUUCCAGGUGUAGCGGUGAAAUGCGUAGAUAUCUGGAGGAACACCGGUGGCGAAGGCGGCAUCCUGGACCGAUACUGACACUGAGGAGCGAAAGCCAGGGGAGCAAACGGG